rnacentral:rRNA from 1 species
UGAACGCUGGCGGCGUGCCUAAUACAUGCAAGUCGAGCGAACAGACGAGGAGCUUGCUCCUCUGACGUUAGCGGCGGACGGGUGAGUAACACGUGGAUAACCUACCUAUAAGACUGGGAUAACUUCGGGAAACCGGAGCUAAUACCGGAUAAUAUAUUGAACCGCAUGGUUCAAUAGUGAAAGACGGUUUUGCUGUCACUUAUAGAUGGAUCCGCGCCGCAUUAGCUAGUCGGUAAGGUAACGGCUUACCAAGGCAACGAUGCGUAGCCGACCUGAGAGGGUGAUCGGCCACACUGGAACUGAGACACGGUCCAGACUCCUACGGGAGGCAGCAGUAGGGAAUCUUCCGCAAUGGGCGAAAGCCUGACGGAGCAACGCCGCGUGAGUGAUGAAGGUCUUCGGAUCGUAAAACUCUGUUAUUAGGGAAGAACAAAUGUGUAAGUAACUAUGCACGUCUUGACGGUACCUAAUCAGAAAGCCACGGCUAACUACGUG